GAAGGGAUAAUAAUAAUAAACCUGGAACAGAGUGUAAAACAUUUAAAGUUGAAACUUCAAAUAAACCAACUGCCUAAAGAAGAAAAUUGUAACCUGUAUAGCAAAAAGAUAAGAGUUCCAUAGACUGGAUACAAUCAAUUGGUCCAAAGUCACUGUGUUUUACAUUAGACAGUGGCGCAAUGUUAAUUGAACAUGCAAUGAUAUGCUAAAGAUUGAAAACAUGAGUUCAAGCAAAUAUACAUUAAUAAAAAAGAUAAAGUAGUAAAAUUAUUUAUAGAUAUGCACAAGGAACACAGCACCAUUCUGAGAAACUAGCAAAAAAGAUCAGCACUGUAACCCAUUAAAAUGAAAGCAAAGUUAUCAGAAAAUCAUUCAGAAAUUAUAACUCAAGCACCAAUCUCACCAGGUUGCAAAAUUAAAACAAAAUGUAUACAAGUUCCUGGCCAGUAUUGAUUCACAGAUUGUAAAAAGUGGCAAUAAUUAAAAAAAAAAUAAUCAAUACCCUGGAAGUUAGUUUCAAUUCUACACAUGCAGCAGCAGUUCAACGUAAGUGGCACUUACUCCCAAGGACUUUCCAAUUCUAACAAGGACAGCAAAAGGAUACACUCUAAUUCCGAUGUUAUUUUCGUUGCACAGGUUACUUUUAAGGACUAUUGAGACAUAAGAUUUUCAUUUCAAGGGCUUACAGUUGACAUCAUGUUCCACCAACACCACUUAGAAAUCAGAUACUUAAUUACCUGUCCUCCAGUCGUUUUUGGGAUGACGGAGAUAGAUGCAAUGUCCGCAUAUGUCUGGGUAGUGAUAAAUA
rnacentral:misc_RNA from 1 species